CUAAUACAUGCAAGUCGAGCGCAGGAAGCAGACUGAUCUCCUUCGGGAGUGACGUUUGUGGAAUGAGCGGCGGACGGGUGAGUAACACGUGGGCAACCUGCCUGUAAGACCGGGAUAACUUGCGGAAACGUGAGCUAAUACCGGAUAAAGCUCCAUGCCGCAUGGCAUGGGGAUGAAAGACGGCUUAGCUGUCGCUUACAGAUGGGCCUGCGGCGCAUUAGCUAGUUGGUGGGGUAACGGCCUACCAAGGCGACGAUGCGUAGCCGACCUGAGAGGGUGAUCGGCCACACUGGGACUGAGACACGGCCCAGACUCCUACGGGAGGCAGCAGUAGGGAAUCUUCCGCAAUGGACGCAAGUCUGACGGAGCAACGCCGCGUGAGCGAUGAAGGUCUUCGGAUCGUAAAGCUCUGUUGUCAGGGAAGAACACGUGUGAGAGUAACUGCUCACACCUUGACGGUACCUGACCAGAAAGCCACGGCUAACUACGUGCCAGCAGCCGCGGUAAUACGUAGGUGGCAAGCGUUGUCCGGAAUUAUUGGGCGUAAAGGGCUCGCAGGCGGUCCCUUAAGUCUGAUGUGAAAUCUUGCGGCUUAACCGCAAGCGGUCAUUGGAAACUGGGGGACUUGAGUACAGAAGAGGAGAGUGGAAUUCCACGUGUAGCGGUGAAAUGCGUAGAGAUGUGGAGGAACACCAGUGGCGAAGGCGG
rnacentral:rRNA from 1 species